GCGUACACGGUGGAUGCCCUGGCAGUCAGAGGCGAUGAAGGACGUGCUAAUCUGCGAUAAGCGCCGGUAAGGUGAUAUGAACCGUUAUAACCGGCGAUUUCCGAAUGGGGAAACCCAGUGUGAUUCGUCACACUAUCAUUAACUGAAUCCAUAGGUUAAUGAGGCGAACCGGGGGAACUGAAACAUCUAAGUACCCCGAGGAAAAGAAAUCAACCGAGAUUCCCCCAGUAGCGGCGAGCGAACGGGGAGGAGCCCAGAGCCUGAAUCAGCAUGUGUGUUAGUGGAAGCGUCUGGAAAGGCGCGCGAUACAGGGUGACAGCCCCGUACACAAAAGCGCAUGUGCUGUGAGCUCGAUGAGUAGGGCGGGACACGUGGUAUCCUGUCUGAAUAUGGGGGGACCAUCCUCCAAGGCUAAAUACUCCUGACUGACCGAUAGUGAACCAGUACCGUGAGGGAAAGGCGAAAAGAACCCCGGCGAGGGGAGUGAAAAAGAACCUGAAACCGUGU
rnacentral:rRNA from 1 species